UCAGGAUGAACGCUGGCGGCGUGCCUAACACAUGCAAGUCGAACGAAGCACUCUGAACAGAGAUUCGUCGAAGUUUGGAUUUGACUUAGUGGCGGACGGGUGAGUAAUGUAUGAGCAACCUGCCUUUCGGAGGGGGACAACAGUUGGAAACGACUGCUAAUACCGCAUAAUGUAUCGAGGGGGCAUCCCUUUGAUACCAAAGGAGCAAUCCGCCGAAAGAUGGGCUCAUAUCUGAUUAGUUAGUUGGUGAGGUAACGGCUCACCAAGACUGCGAUCAGUAGCCGGACUGAGAGGUUGAACGGCCACAUUGGGACUGAGUUACGGCCCAGACUCCUACGGGAGGCAGCAGUGGGGAAUAUUGGGCAAUGGGCGAAAGCCUGACCCAGCAACGCCGCGUGAAGGAAGAAGGUCCUUGGAUUGUAAACUUCUUUUAUGAGGGACGAAGGAUGUGACGGUACCUCAUGAAUAAGCCACGGCUAACUACGUGCCAGCCGCCGC
rnacentral:rRNA from 1 species